rnacentral:rRNA from 1 species
AGUAAAAGUCGUAACAAGGUCUCCGUUGGUGAACCAGCGGAGGGAUCAUUACAGAGUUGCAAAACUCCCUCACACCAUCGUGAACCAUACCUUCCAACCGUUGCUUCGGCGGGUUCGGGCCGCCCCGGCCCCGGCCGGGGGGGCCCUCCUUCGCCCCCGUGGAGGGGGCGGCCCGCCGGAGGUACACAAAACUCCUUGACACUUGUACGGCCUCUCUGAGUCUCUGUACUGAAUAAGUCAAAACUUUCAACAACGGAUCUCUUGGUUCUGGCAUCGAUGAAGAACGCAGCGAAAUGCGAUAAGUAAUGUGAAUUGCAGAAUUCAGUGAAUCAUCGAAUCUUUGAACGCACCUUGCGCCCGCCAGUAUUCUGGCGGGCAUGCCUGUUCGAGCGUCAUUUCAACCAUCAAGCCCCGGGCUUGUGUUGGGGAUCUGCGGCUGCCCGCAGGCCCUGAAAACCAGUGGCGGGCUCGCUGUCACUCCGAGCGUAGUAGCACUCGUAUCUCGCUCAGGGCGUGCCGCGGGCUCCGGCCGUUAAACCGCCUCUUUAGCACCCAAAGGUUGACCUCGGAUCAGGUAGGAGGACCCGCUGAACUUAAGCAUAUCAAUAAGCGGAGGAAAAGAAACCAACAGGGAUUGCCCCAGUAACG